AAGCUUAUGUCUGAACCCAAAGGAUAUAACUAUAUGCUGGUGAAAUUUUGGAUAAAUAACAAUUCCAAGUGUCCUGUGCAAAAACAUUAAGAAAGGCGCUUCCAACUCCCUGAGGAGCAGGUACAUCACACCAAUAGAACAUUCGAGAAAAGAAACUAACCACUGCAAAAUACCAGGAAAGCAGCAAAGAGACGAGAAGUUCUCAGCUGCUUUUUCAAACUAAACUAUAAGUACUGAACAUAUAAGUUUCUAUAACAAGACCCCUUGCAAAGACACUGUUCAAGAGAAUGAAGGUAGUCAUCAACUUCUAGGAUUCCAAAUGUUUGCUACUCCAUUCAACCAGCUUCAUGCUCUUAUUCUCGAUUCAUCUAUUUGAUCCUGCAAACAACUCAAACAAGCCACAGCAACUUUUCCAGGAAGUUGUUUGCACUGGUCGUGAAGGUAUCGCUGUAAACUGAUGGCCAUGGCAUUCUCGAGCUGGAGAUUCUUUCACAUCUGCAGAAACACUAGCAUCAAUUUUAGGAGCACUGUGGGGUGCCUCUAUUUUUUCUUCAUUUUCUACGAUCGCAAAAGCCUUUGCAUCUGUACUUUCUAAAGUAUUACCACUUGAUAUUGCACUGGCAUUGCAUGACACUGCAGUAGCUGUUUCAUCUCUUUUCUCCGAUCCUGUCUCCAUCAGAACUUCUGAAAUAGUGGCUUUGUCAACUAUAGCACCCAAAUUUUCCUUCCAAUUUUCCACAACAGUAUCUGAAGCUGUAUCUUUCUCAUCAACAACACACAAAUUUUCUUCCCCUUUCUCCUCCACCACCGAUUCAACAGCAGAUGCAAUCACAUUAUCAGCAUCUGAAGCACUUGCUGUGACUUGAACUAUGUCUUCUGAUAUUGCAGCCUUAUCCAAAUCACAUGCAGAGAUUGUUCCCACAAGGAUAUCAGCAACUUGUUCAUCAGGCAAAGAUUCAUUAUCUUUCACUAAUCCAACAGCUGGAGCAUCAUCAUCAACCACAAUACUAUUCUUAUCAAGCAAAGAUUCAAUCUCUUUCACUAAUUCAACAACUGGAGCAUCAUCAACCAUAAUACUAUUCUUACCAGGCAAAGAUUCAAUACCUUUCGCUAAUUCAACAGUUGGAGCAUCAUCAACCACAACAUCAUUCUUAUCAGCAACAUCAUAUUUUUCUACUGAGCUGCUACUGCUGCUGCUACUGGAACUCCUUUGCAACCCUCCUGGGUUGGAUUCAAUCAUGAUUUCAGCAUUCUCAACACUUAUCUUCUGGCUCUCAGAUUCACACUCAACCUUCAAUUCCCUUUCAACCUGAACAAGACCUCCUCCUUCAUUUCCAGCAAUUUCCACUUCCUUGCCUUCAUGUUUCACCCCAUUGAAUUCAUUUUCUUCAAUUGACCGAUCACGUGAAUCAUCCAAUUGCUUCUCUCCAUCUUCAACCUCUCCUUCAGUAAACUGGUUUUGGUGAUUCUGAUAAUCUUGAGAUGCAGGGGAACUACCCUCACUGUCACUCUCUUUAUCAUCACGCUUCAGAUCCUCCUCACCAGGAAAAGAACCGGUACUUCGAGAAGGAGGUUCUACUGCUUGAACCUGCUUCUUUUUCUUAGCAGCUUUUCGCUUCUUAGCACCUGAAGGCAUGUUUUGGGUUUUAUGGAACUACUGUUGCUCUGUUUUGCAAGAAAUGGGAUCUUUUGUUUGUGUUUCAAAAUCUGAAAUUGAAGAAUCUUGUUCUUGUUUUAGCUUAGUUUUGUGGUGUAUUGGGGAAUGGGGGGAUUUUGAAGUUUGGUAGUACCAAUGGAGAAGAGUGAGUAACA
rnacentral:misc_RNA from 1 species